rnacentral:rRNA from 1 species
GUGUCAGCAGCCGCGGUAAGACGAACCGUGCGAACGUUGUUCGGAAUCACUGGGCUUAAAGGGCGCGUAGGCGGGCAAGCAAGUCCGGGGUGAAAUCUUUCGGCUCAACCGGAAAAGUGCCUUGGAUACUGCUUGUCUCGAGGGAGGUAGGGGUUGCUGGAACUUCCGGUGGAGCGGUGAAAUGCGUUGAUAUCGGAAGGAACGCCGGUGGCGAAAGCGAGCAACUGGAUCUCUUCUGACGCUGAGGCGCGAAAGCUAGGGGAGCAAACGGGAUUAGAAACCCCCGUAGUCC